AUGGAAUAGAUGUAUUUUGGCCGACAUUCUGCUAAUUUACUCAUCGAUGAAACAUUUGAUUUCAAAAGAGUUUUCUGUUCCCAAAACUACAAUCUGUUAGGAAUAGAGUGGACAAAGUUUUGUAGACUUUACCCUUUGCCAAAGAAAAAAAAAGGAAUGCGAAGGCGAAUUGAGUUAUUGCACACGUGGACUUUACAGGGUAGGCAUUCCACAACGGAACCCUGCAAAUGCACGCUAGAAUCUUGUUAACUCUUGCUUGGCUCUGCCCACCUCCUUGCUUGUUCUGCCCACUAUGGCUCAUUUGUUUCCCUUUGAAACGACAGGCUGUGGUCUAUGUAUGUGUAGUUCUAAAAAUAUGUGUCUGCUUCUUCUUCUUUAAAUUAAAAGGUGCAUACACUGAAAGGUGCAUACACCACCACCUAGUGCGAGUCCGGUGUAAGAGUUAGUGACCCUACCAACUAACUCGACACUCAUUAAAACAUCACCACUAUUCCACUAAUGGCCCCAUCUGAUCCUAGACUAGGCCAGCAGGGUCCGUGUACCUUCUAGACAAUGGCUAUCCUACAUUAACCAGGAUGACGGAUAGUGAUUCACCAUUCGUCAUCCGUUUUCUUUUAUUUCAAGGUGAUCGAAAUUGACAGAAAGCUACCUUUUUUCGUUUUUCGCUUCAGAUAUCGGAAAACAAGCACUGUCAAGAGGGACCUGGGGUGCAGAUGGUGGUGGAGGUGUUUGGCGUGGAGAGGACGGAAUUCAGUGGAGGACAUCCCAGCCACUUGACAGUGUUGGCACUGUUACUUCCUACCUGACGGGUGAAGGAUGAUAAACCUGUGUUUGAGAAGAGGUGUCUGGUGUGGGAGGACAUGCGGAUUCCCUCAAAGUUCCUGAAGGAGGAGUUGAAGGGUAGUACCUGCGGCAACACCCAGGUCUAUCUGUCUUCAGAGGGAUCUAGGGUGCAGACAGCAGAUGGUGGUGGUGGAGAUGUUUGGGGUGGAGAGGACAGUGGAUUCAGUUGGAGGACAUCCCAGCCACUUGGCAGUGUUGGUGUAACAGUAUAACUUUAGACCGUCCCCUCGCCCAUACCUGGGCGUGAACCAGGGACCCUCUGCACACAUCAACAACAGUCACCCACGAAGCAUCUUUACCCAUCGCUCCACAAAAGCCGCAGAGCAAGGGGAACCACUACUUCAAGGUCUCAGAGCAAGUGACGUCACCGAUUGAAAAGCUAUUUAGCACUCACCGCUAACUAAGCUAGCCGUUUCACAUCCGUUACAUUGGAACUGCUUCUUCCUACCUGAUGGGCACCUGGCCACCCGAGUGCAGGUGGGCUCUGUCAACAUGAGGCUCUUACUGGUCCUACCCCAAGUACACACAGGAGUUGAAGAUGCCUUGUACCAGCGGCAGCACCCAGAGCUCCAAGCCAUGAUGGGUCGACUUCCUGCAGUUCCUGCUACUACGAAAACUGAGCGAGGUCAUCAUGUUCGCCCGCAAGGACUUCUUUGCCUCCUGCCAACUCCCGGGUGGCACCUUGAACAGCUCCUCACCUUGAGGACACACAUUGUGGCUGCGUCUGUGUCUCAAUAGUCUAGUAGCUUUCUUUGACUGGCACUUUAGUGAGGACAAUACUAUUCUGGUUGGCACUUGUCACCAGUAUGUACAGAGGCCCUCGAGAUCUAGAGUAUUGAUAAAAUACGAAUGCUUUUAUGGAUGUUUUUUAUUUUGUGAUGUUUUUGCUGUCUGUUUGUAUGAGGUGCACUGAAACAAAUUCCUAAUCAACUCUGUUAUGGAAAUCGCAAGAGGUCCAGUUAUGUCAGUUAUUGUGAAUGAAAAUAAAAUGUAUCAUUUCAUGUCUUGUAUGUUUCCCAUGCUUAAUUUCUGUGGAGUAAUUCCAGUAACUGCUCAUUUGCUUUGGCUCUAAUCUG